GAUGAACGCUGGCGGCGUGCCUCAUACAUGCAAGUCGAGCGAAGCGGGGACGGGUGAGUAAAACGUGGAUAACCUCCUAUAAGACUGGGAUAACUUCGGGAAACCGGAGCUAAACCGGAUGCUUAUAGAUUGAUACGCGCUGAAUUAGCUAGUUGGUAAGGUAACGGCUACACAAGGCAACGAUGCAUAGCCGACGUGAGAGAGUGAGCGGCCUCCCUGGAACUGCGACACGGUCCAGAGUCCUACGGUGGGGAGACGUAGGGAAGCUCCCGGAAUUGGCGAAAGCCUGACGGUGCAACGCCGCGUGAGUUAUGAAGGUCUUCAGAUCGUAAAACUCUGUUAUUAGGGAAGCGGUACCUAAUCAGAAAGCCACGGCUAACUACGUGCCAGCCGCCGCGGUAAUUC
rnacentral:rRNA from 1 species